ACCUGGCUGGCUCAGUUGGUAGAGCGUGAGAUCCUUGAUCUCAGGAUUAUGAGUUCAAGCCCCACACUGGGUA
rnacentral:tRNA from 1 species